GCUUUAGGCCAGAGUGGCAGGCCAGGACGAACACCCUAAUCAUAGGAGAAACUAGGUGAGCUGCAGAAGUCGACUGCUGGAAGCUCAGGCCUGGGACAGUGUGAUUUUGACUUGACGGUCAGUGAGGUUGAGCAUUCGAGACAGCUGCAGGCGCUUCUCUUUGUUGAUGUACACACUGAAGAAGAACUCCCGCUCCAGCUCCCGGAUCUGAUUGAAUAACAACUGUAACAUGCAGUCGGACAGAAGGCGGCACGUAAUUGCCACCGCGCCACAGGAAAAUGGCUUCCUUUGGACGAAAAGGCCAACUUUGGGGUCCAGGCAGCCCUCGCAGGGCCGACCCGUUGCUCCCCGCGCAGCAUUUGGAGAUGGCCACCCGGAGAGGAGAAGGCUGGCGCCGGAGCCAGCCUUGUCAGGCGGAAACGGCUAACGAGGCGAUUUGCUCAGCAAAGCAGACCAAGCCUUUCCAAACUUCAUUUGAUUUGGCCCUAAAAGUGGGGGGUUGGGGGAUUCGGAAACACCUCCCGGACCCUCCUUGGCGGGCGGGCUGAGUGCUCCGUGGCGGGGAUUCGGGAGCCCUGCACUCCACGCGCCUUCCCAGGCGGGAUAUGGGAAUAAAGUCUGUCCAGAUGCC